GGAGGGGGAUAACUACUGGAAACGGUAGCUAAUACCGCAUAACGUCGCAAGACCAAAGAGGGGGACCUUAGGGCCUCUUGCCAUCGGAUGUGCCCAGAUGGGAUUAGCUUGUAGGUGAGGUAACGGCUCACCUAGGCGACGAUCCCUAGCUGGUCUGAGAGGAUGACCAGCCACACUGGAACUGAGACACGGUCCAGACUCCUACGGGAGGCAGCAGUGGGGAAUAUUGCACAAUGGGCGCAAGCCUGAUGCAGCCAUGCCGCGUGUAUGAAGAAGGCCUUCGGGUUGUAAAGUACUUUCAGCGGGGAGGAAGGGAGUGAGGUUAAUAACCUUAUUCAUUGACGUUACCCGCAGAAGAAGCACCGGCUAACUCCGUGCCAGCAGCCGCGGUAAUACGGAGGGUGCAAGCGUUAAUCGGAAUUACUGGGCGUAAAGCGCACGCAGGCGGUCUGUCAAGUCGGAUGUGAAAUCCCCGGGCUCAACCUGGGAACUGCAUUCGAAACUGGCAGGCUGGAGUCUUGUAGAGGGGGGUAGAAUUCCAGGUGUAGCGGUGAAAUGCGUAGAGAUCUGGAGGAAUACCGGUGGCGAAGGCGGCCCCCUGGACAAAGACUGACGCUCAGGUGCGAAAGCGUGGGGAGCAGACAGGAUUAGAUACCCUGGUAGUCCACGCUGUAAACGAUGUCGACGUGGAGGUUGUUCCCUUGAGGAGUGGCUUCCGGAGC
rnacentral:rRNA from 1 species